AAGUGCCCCCCAAGACCCCCCACCCCACCCUUGCAUAUAGGAACCAGCCUGGAAAAAGUCCUGGUUGGGCUUGGACCCAGCAGCUCCCAGUCUCCCCCAGGGAGGAGGGGGUUGCGUGGGGGUGAUACCUGUGAGAAGACAGGGACUAACCAGUCUCAUUAUUCAUCUAGAUCUGGCCAGGGCCUGCCUGGGGCUGAUGCAGCCUCUGUGAAGGCCUGGACUGAGAAUGGGAACUAGGCUGAGACGAGAAUGCACAAUUUCCCUCAAGUUGACCCAAACGAUACAAGGAGGUAACUCACCAGCCCCUGGUCUCAGCACAUGGUACUGUGCUUUGGUGGGGCUGCUAGGUUACCCACUUAGUGCCGCAGUUCCCCAGAGUGGUGUCCUGAGGCCCUUAUGGGCAGAGGGGCUGGCUCAGCCUCUACCCCAUCCUACCCUCUCCAUCAUUCAUGCCUCCAGUCCUGUCUCCACCACCUGGCAGGCUCCCCAGCAGCAGGGACAAGGUCUUUUUACAGUUAGCAAAUGUUUAUUUGCUGGCUCAGACCCCUCCCAGGCAGGCCUCCUCACCAAAGCUCCACGCUCCAAGAAGCCACGUGGGUCAUGGAAGCGAAGUCACUAAACUUCCUCCUUGCCCAACCUGGUCCAUGUCUAGCAACCCCAGAGCAAAAGAUGCGGACACCUUACCAAGGAUCUCCUGCCUUAUUCUUGCCCUGGGGCCAGCAGAGCCCAGGACAGCGGCUCCCAGCUUUACCACCAGGGAUGACCCUGGCCCCCUCCUCUGCAUUCCUUCUCAUCCCAGCUUCCCUUGGUCCCUGGAGAGGCCUAAAGAGGGCUUAAUAAAGGACCCUGAAGUUGGGAGGAAGAUGGUGGGGUUCCGAGGAGGGAGGGCCAUCAGUUGUUAUUUAAUAGCCACAGGUCUCUCCCCUACCUGAGUCAACCAUUCCCCAUUCAGCAAAGUGUGUUACAGCAACCUCUGUGGGCUCUGCCCAGGAAACCAGAGGAAGGAGGCAGCAGAACUGCAGCCUUGCCUGAAGGGUUCUGAGCACCCUUCAGUGGUGUGAAGAGGGGUUUCCUGUCUCCAUCCUUCAUUUCAGAGCCACAGCCUGGAGGUGACUCGGGGGAGGGGGAUUGACACCACCCCCAGUGUGGUGUCACCAGCCUUCACAAUAAUACACUGCCAUGGAGUCAACCCCAUGGGUUAUCAUCAAACUGAGAGUCCUAUGUACCUAGAUCUUCAAGAACAGGGACCAGAAACACACAGAACAAGAAUACAAGUCAACAACCACAAGACCACAUCGCAUCUCUACCACAUCGCCUCUUCUCCUCCCAUGGACGUAACUCCCUCCAACAAACUUGAUUCCACUUAUCCUCCCUCGGCAAGCUGCUUCAAUCCAGAGAAUAUCAGGGCAGACUGUCGCCCCAGAGGGACCCAAGGCACGUUACUCAACCUCUCUGAUCCUCAUCUGUAAAACAAGAGUAAAACACCUGCUUUGGGGAGUUGCUGCACACCGACAGCUGCCCACGGCUACCCAAGAAGUGAGGACUGGGUAAGAAGUUUGAGCAAGACUGUGCGGCUGGGCCCUGCAAAUACCUCAGCCAAACAGUGAACAAUCUGAGGUGAGGCCGGGGUGUGUGGAUGGCGUCCAGGUGAGCUGAUGAGCACAGAUGUGGCAAAUGUGUGUUUCAAGGAGGUGGUCAGUCAUCCAGCCCCCUCUGGAAGCCGAGGUCCCCAGCAGCCAAUCUUCCGGCCUAGAAAGAUUUAUUAAAGUAACUCCAUACCUCUGUCCAGCCCACUCCCACCCUCCCAGGCCUUCUCCACAUCACCAUCCUCCUUCUCUGUCUCUUCUACCCAAGCAGGAGGAAUUGAAGAUUUCCCCCCACCACCACCACCUUCCCAGGUCUCUCCCUACAAAGUCACCUGGGGACACACCCCUCACCCCACCUCCGCUCCUGGCCUAAGGCUCUUCUGGGGAUUCCUGGUUGUCAGAGGACAGGGACACAGGUGUCCCCCAUGCAGCCCAGGGCUGGCAGAGGCAGCCUCCAGCCUCCUCGAAGCUGCCCAUGGGGAAGGUGAGAAGCAGGGUUAUC